GGAACUGUUUAAUACUGUUAAACUGGCACGCCAUGUGACUCUUAAUCAGCGGGUCUGCGGUUCGAGCCCGCAGUGGUCCACCA
rnacentral:tRNA from 1 species